AAAUUGAAGAGUUUGAUCAUGGCUCAGAUUGAACGCUGGCGGCAGGCCUAACACAUGCAAGUCGAACGGUAGCACAAAGGAGCUUGCUCCUUGGGUGACGAGUGGCGGACGGGUGAGUAAUGUCUGGGAAACUGCCCGAUGGAGGGGGAUAACUACUGGAAACGGUAGCUAAUACCGCAUAACGUCGCAAGACCAAAGAGGGGGACCUUCGGGCCUCUUGCCAUCGGAUGUGCCCAGAUGGGAUUAGCUAGUAGGUGGGGUAACGGCUCACCUAGGCGACGAUCCCUAGCUGGUCUGAGAGGAUGACCAGCCACACUGGAACUGAGACACGGUCCAGACUCCUACGGGAGGCAGCAGUGGGGAAUAUUGCACAAUGGGCGCAAGCCUGAUGCAGCCAUGCCGCGUGUAUGAAGAAGGCCUUCGGGUUGUAAAGUACUUUCAGCGAGGAGGAAGGCGUUGUGGUUAAUAACCGCAACGAUUGACGUUACU
rnacentral:rRNA from 1 species